CAGUGGCUGCUCCUCAUCCGGCGUAGUGCUGUGGAAUUCCCUCCCUCCAUGCUGAGAAACUUACACAACCAUGUUCAACAUAACAUACAAUUAUUUGGACUUUAAAACGGCAAAGGAACAAGAUUCAUAAACCACGCAGUAGGACGAGCGAAAC